rnacentral:piRNA from 1 species
GCCUCGUUGGUUUGGGCCUCUCUGA